GAGGCAACUAGCUUGAUGCGUUCUACG
rnacentral:sRNA from 1 species